CCAAUGCUCACCAAGACAAAAAGGCCACGGGCACUCAGCCCCAGAAAGCUCUCGGGAAUGCUCCUACACUUCCUAGGGAAGGAGAAGGUAGCUCUGAGCAGUGGCCAUCAGCCUCAGGGAUUUUUCAGCACCUCUAAUUCUGACAAGCCUAGUGCUGGGUGCACUCUGCUUGGCUGACAUCACAGGGAUCACCCAUUCCCCAGGGCUGGGUCAUCAGAUCCUAUUGGGGCAUGUCAGGAGUCACAUGAGAUGGGAGAGGGAGUGAAAAACACCAAACCAAAGAACAUGAAAUAAUUUCUAAACAUUUUUAUUUCAAAUCUCUUUUCACCCCUCCCCAAAAAGACAUGGGUAGGUACAGCAAUCAUAAAAAGGAGAUACAAACACAAGAGUCAAAUGUCUCUCGCACUGACACUUACAAAAAACUGGGAAUUGUACAUGGGGUUUCCAAACAGGACCUGCAGCAGCUACUAACGUCCCUUUACGAGAGUCAAACAUGCCUAUUAAUACAGUAUAUACAGACACCCCAUUCUGGAACUAAUCUACAGGGACAUCCCUAACCCCACCCCCUCUAUCCCCAGAAAAAUACCAAAACACACCCAAAGUGCAUUUGUUUUGUUUAUAUCAAAACCUCUUUCCCUUUCCCCAUCCCACCCUCAGACCCCUCCCACCCCAUUUAAGAUUGGCCUGCAAGUCUAUUUUAACCAUUUAGUAUUUUUUUAUAGUUUAUGAAAAUAAAUUAUACAGCAACUAUUUUAAUAAAUUAAGCACAAAAGGAAGGGUAAAAGAGGAAAACUAAAUGGGAAGACAAAAGCCAGGCCACGCUUUGGCUUGGAGGAGGGCAGAGGGGGGGCUAACGGAGACAGAAGUGGUUGCAAGGGGUGGCUCCCUUUCUGGUGAAAAAUUGGCAACCACCCCGAGCCCAGAAUGACACCCCUCUUCAUCGAGUUUCUUAAAAACAACCAAAAACGUACAGCAGUGGCUAUGCCACAGGCAGCACCAGUGUGGGCAUUCCAACAGCCAGCUACCCAAAGUGGCACCUGGACCCUACCUGUCCCUUGGACAGGUUCUGGGCCUAAGAGUGAGGGACAGGUCCCCGCCCAAGGGAGCACCAGAGAUGGAGGAGUGAGAGCAGGCUUCUGCUCCACCUGAGCUGGUUAGGGAGCUCAGGACGAAACUCUGAGCGGGGCAGUGUGGUAUGUGAUGAUCCCAGAGUCUGAGGAAGAGUGUCCUAAGUUCCUCACACUCUAUCUCCAGGAGGAACUACGAUCGCAGUCCAGCUGCAACCAAACAUGCAUGUCUUCCCGCCGUGGCUGGCUGCUUUCUGUCUGCCCCUCCAGGCCUCUUGGUGUUGCAGAGGAGGGGGUAGGAGAGGGAAAGGGAACGGUUCCAGGUCACCUCUAAACCCUCUAGAAAUGAAAUGGGAAUGAAGCAGGUCACAAACUCAGCAUGCAGGGCUGGCUUCCCGGGAGGUAGAUGGGAGUGGGACGGGAUAGCAGGUGUGGAGAGGACAGGAAGGGAAACAGGAAGAAACUGAGCGACACCUGCCAGGAAGGUCAAGAAGCAAUGAAAAGGACAAAGACAAUAUGAAAUCUGCAUGAAAAGACAGGUCCUUUUCUGGCAGAUUAGAGAAUCAACAUUUUCAGUACAACUCAUAACGCUACUUUCCUAACUGCAGUACCCGAGUCCCCAGCGCCUGUCUCUAUGAUCCAACCCCCAUUUCACUGCUCCCAAGACUUUGCUCUCCAUUUUAUCAAGGCCUCCAAUCAUUUUGUGCUGAGUGUGAAGGCUCCAAUGUGAAAGCAGGGUCUACCACAGGGACGUGCAGACUUGACCUUUGUGACCCAAUCAUUUUAUAGCUAUCGCAGCAUAGGAGGGGGGCACACUUUUCUUUCUUUUUUUUUUCUUUUUCUUUUUUUAAUAAAAAAGGUUUUACUCCCCAGGAGCAAAUAAAUCAUUUUGAACUACUGAUAAACACUGCUGCAGUGAAAAGAAAGAUGGCUACAUGUAUGCAAUAGCACAAAUUCAGUGGAAGAACAGCUGUGUUGACGAUUAGAGAUAAAAAUCACUUAUCCAUUCCCUCCUUUCCCACAAACCAAACCGAGGAUUCCCAUAGGGAAAAUGUCUAACUCAAUAGCUCCUCCCUUACAUGACAGGGGGUGUGUCAUUCUCUUAACAGUGGAAAACAAAUGCCAGGUCUCCGCCCAGUGGAGAUGCUCUUAACACCCUAACUGGUAGCAAGACUUCUGCAAAUGAGGACACACACACACACACACAUGCAUGCAUAUGCACACACACAGACUCAGACCUCCUUCCAGCAGCCAUAGAGCUUUAUCCCAGUGUCUUGUCCACUAACUUUAGGGCUCCAAAGCUAAGGGAGCGAGGCAGCAGGGAAGGGAAAGAUCUAACUGAAGGAAAAAGCUCCUCCUCGCCCCAGUUUCUGCAGGGAGCAGAGGGCUUCAAGCAGGCCAUGCUUUCCUGGGGGCCCUGGGGUGAGGGCUGACACGGCUGGAUUCCAGGGCACUUCUGGUUCUACUCCCACCUCUCACCCCUAGACCUAGGAACUAUAAUUACCCCCACUCCCUAAUUCUUCCUGGAUGUCUGUUACAGGGGUGUCUGCAGCUAUCUCCACACCAUCCCCAACCUCAAGGGGGGCUUACAUCAUUAGCCCAAGUGAAAUGUAGGGAAGGGGAAGGAGCAGGAGCCAUGCAGGAGUUUCCUUUGGCCACACCUUUCUCCUCAGGGAGGUGGCGCCACCUCCAUGGCUCAGGUUCCAAGAUGUAACAUUCACUUGGCCUAGGCACAGGCAGGUGACCAGGCAAAGGUCAGCACCAAUGGUCCCAAAGAGCCGGUUGCCACCCAUGCAGGCACCAAACACCCACACCUGACGAAGACUGUCUCCUCUUGCGCUGCUGUUUUGCAGCCCACUCCACAGAGAAAGGACUAGGCUGCGGCCAGGGCUGGGACCAGUGCACUGACACAGACACAGUUCAACACGACACUCCCCAGGAGGAGAAAGGUGGGUGGUGAGGUUGGGUCACACCUCCUCAGUUGGUUUGUUUUGUACCUGAAUGUAUGAGUUCUCCAGAAGAAACCCCAGUAACACAGGGGGUGCAGAGGCUCUGCCUCCCUCACAUGGCCUGAGCUGACCAUAGUGAGGCCCUGGCAAUGGGCAGGAGCCUUGCUGACUCCUUUGGGCUUUGGGCUCCACCUCACCAUCAUAACCCCUUGGCACUCAGGUCUGCCUGGUGGCUGGGAAGCUUCCAUCUAGAAAACCGCACUGGAAAGGAUUCUUUAACCAUGUUGCUCUAACAGGGCUGUGCACUGUUCAGUACAUGCCAUGCAGAUUUCUGCUUCCUUGCUUUUGCUCAUGUGUUUUUCAUCUCACUGUCUGUCCUGCCAUUGACUACAACCCAAAGCCUCAGAGGCACAGAACUUUCCCAGACCAUCUGGUCUACCCUGAUCUUAUCUACUAUAAACGUCUUUAGAUAGUCCUUGAUUUUCUGCUUGAUGUGCAGCAGUCACCUAAAAGCUCCCUUAGGCCACAUAUUACGUCUUUUACCUUUUUUGUUUUCUACAAUAUCUAGCGCAAAGCCAGGCACACACACACUAAAAAAUAAUAUUAAAAUUAUGGGUGGUUGAAAAGGAACAAAAAAAAGAAAGAUCCCAGGCUGUAUAUCAGCCACCCAAGGAUCUCAACAGAUUCCAACUUCAGGCUCUAUAUUGGGGUGGCACUUCCUGCAAGAUGGCGAGUUAUAUUACUUGUACUCUCACGAGGCAACACUCACAUGCUAAGCCAAUUUCUGGGAUCACAAUCUUGCUUAGUUGAUAAUACUACCAUGGAAGCCAAGGAAAGAAGAGGUACCACAUGACAAAUCAGAGGUGGGCUGUGUUUAUGGUGCACAGCUCAUCUUGUGGGCCACCCUUCCACAGUCAGGUAAUGGUGCAAGUUUCCUCCCUGUUCAGCUACAAGGAGGAAGACUGGUCACUCCACGUGGGACUAAGGAAGAAGGCAAUGCUCCCAGAUGAGGCAGUCCUAUAAAUUACCAGGACACUGGGGCCCCACCCAAACCAUCAGGAAGCCACAAACCUGACAUUAGUAUCUGUCUUGUGACACGAGGCAACUAUAAGCAUGGGGAACCCAGAAAGAGAGUCCCAUGGAACACACGCAAAGGAGUCAUGAAGACCCAACAGCUCCACUGUUACAUCUCAAUAGCAAACCUCUCCCCAGAGCAGCUCUAUAAGAAAGCAAACUCACAAUGUCAUAUGAAUUGGCCAUGGCCAGCUGCAGAAACCAUUAAAGACCAUUGGAGUUUUUCUCCCCGCUCCUCCUGAAAGCAGGGACAGGCAGCUCUCAAAUCGGCAUCUGGCAGACUUUCCAGUGAGUGGAGACCAGCAGGAUCUGAUCCGGAAAUGUCUGGGUUGCUAGAAUGAACACAAGAAAAUACAGAAGCCCUUGCUACCUCCCAUCCCAGAAGUGGGAUGGCAGUGAUAAACCUAAAAACGUGAGAUGCGAUGCUCUCCUCUGACCUAAGGAAAUCCCGUGAGGGCUGCGUUCUGAGAGCUUCCUCUAGGAAGAGCACAACUGUGGGAGCUGUAUUUCUCACCUUCCUCCACAUUCCCCCUCACAAGCUGACAGGCACAUGGAAGUAACACUCACUCCUAAGUCAUGAGUACAGUUUGCCAUGAAGAACCUGGAAACAUGCUCCAUUAAAUUCAGCAGCCCAUGACUGGCUCUGAACCGCCCAGGUGAUGGGAAACACGAUUGCCAUGACAGCUGGCAGAAGCAAUAGGGAUGCUGUUACCAUGAUCAGAGUGACAUGUACAGUUAUCUCAAGGGGCAAUGGGUUGAGAGCAGAGGAAGAACGGGGUUAACUUCAGGUCAUGGAACUUAAGGAAUUAAGUAAAUCACAACUAGUACAGCUUCCAUGAGAGGUGUUUCUGAACUCAGGUUCCUAAACCUUAAAAAAGGAUGCAGGAGUCACUACUUCUCCCAGCUAAGGCCAAUUGGCUAGGUUUUGCCCAAUAUUCUUUUCGAGACCACCCACCCUCCUUUCUCUCCUGCUCCUACAACAGCUGCCCAUGGCAACAAGAGGCAGAUUCCCCCUUCCUCAGGAACUCCCAGUCCUUUGCAAACCUCAAGCCCCUCCUCCCAUCUUCCAGGCCCACAGCACAGACUCUAACUCUGCCUUUGGCACCAGCUGAAUGGCCGUCCCCUGUUCCCUCCUCCCACCCCUUCUUUGGACCUGCUCACCCUUCGCACCACUUUCAAUCCAACGGGCACAAACCCCAACUGCCUUCAAGGUGAGUUUUCCAUACCAAGUAAUAUAAAUAUCAAAAACAAAACUUCUGAAAAAGAAACAGUGUUGAGACUUCUUCCAGUUUUCCAAGGAGCCCCUCCAGUCCUAAGAUGCCCAGGGGUGGGUGUGAGGUGGAG
rnacentral:lncRNA from 10 species